UAAUGUGUCAGUUUCAGAGUGAUUGCUAUUAAGUAUUUCUGCUCUGCACAUGGAGGAAUGGUUGAGAACAGAAAAUGAUUUGCAACUCUCCAGUUUUUUGUCAUUUUGGCUCAGCUGGCUACCUGUGUGGCUCAUCGAGAGAUGAACGAGUGGGUGAGAGAGCAGCUGUUGGCUGUGUGUUUUUGUGUGUUAGCCAUUAGUGCCACCACGUGCCGUGCUGUUUCUGAAUCGUUGCCUCUCUUGUCCAUGAAUGCACCUCUCUGUGCAGCAAGGAAGCAAGGAAAGUGGGAUGGUGAGACUGAGGAGGAGGAAUAUAAGCAUUUGUGCACUACACAAGCUCUGCAAGACAAUCCGACACAUCAAGUGUUCACUUUAUUCUGAAAUAACUCCUUCUCACUUCCUUCAGCUCUUUCUAUGGUUGCUUUGGAUUCAGGGACAGAGAUGGGUGACAAUCUAUUUACAGCCUUCAUAAGUACAGGCUUUCCUUCACUGCUUUGGAUAACAGUGCUCUGUAACAUUCUUGAGACUGUCCUCUAAAAGUUCAUUUCCACUUACAGGGAGAUUUGAGGAAAAAAAUGACUUGAAAAGUCACACACACACACACACACACACACACACACACACACACACACACACACACACACACACACACACA